GAUGAACGCUGGCGGCGUGCCUAAUACAUGCAAGUCGAGCGAACAGACGAGGAGCUUGCUCCUCUGACGUUAGCGGCGGACGGGUGAGUAACACGUGGAUAACCUACCUAUAAGACUGGGAUAACUUCGGGAAAACGGGGCUAAUACCGGAUCAUAUAUUGAACCGCAUGGUUCAAUAGUGAAAGACGGUUUUGCUGUCACUUAUAGAUGGAUCCGCGCCGCAUUAGCGAGUUGGUAAGGUAACGGCUUACCAAGGAAACGAUGCGUAGCCGACCUGAGAGGGGGAUCGGCCACACUGGAACUGGGACACGGUCCAGACUCCUACGGGAGGCAGCAGUAGGGAAUCUUCCGCAAUGGGCGAAAGCCUGACGGAGCAACGCCGCGUGAGUGAUGAAGGUCUUCGGAUCGUAAAACUCUGUUAUUAGGGAAGAACAAAUGUGUAAGUAACUAUGCACGUCUUGACGGUACCUAAUCAGAAAGCCACGGCUAACUACGUG
rnacentral:rRNA from 1 species